UUAGAGUAAUGAGUGUGCGCGUGUGUGUGCGUGUGUCCGGGUUAUGAAGGCUCGGUCUGUCGUGGGGAUGAAUGCCUCUGCUCCGAGCUGACUGCCGCUUUAAUGAAGGACAGACCGGUGCUGCCUCACUCUUUCUACCGCUGCUCCGUACGCACGAUCUACACACACGCGCGCGCACACACACACCUUAGCGAUCGGCCCAGGCCUCGGUACAGAGGACACACGCCAGUGCUAAAAAUAAAUGAUCCCUAAUGUGUUUUGGAGCGGACCUGUUGGGCGGCGACGCAUGAGUAUGACGUAGACGACAACAAAAAAAGCAGCCAUUAAAACCGAUUUGUCAUUUAUUUAACUGUCAGCGUAUCACAUUUAACUUGUAUUGUUCACAUUUAGGGCCACGUAAGCCCAUCUAACCCCCGCUGCUCUAUCUCACGGAGUUUUAUUUAGGUAACCCUAGACCUCGUGCUCAAACCUAAGCUAGCUGGUUCUCAUCCUCUUUAGCAGCGCCGGCUCAAAUAAGCUAACAUUAGAUUAGAGAUGGUCAAUAAAGUGUAUUUCCUGGAGGUGGGAGAAUACGUUUCUCUGGAUACAGCCUCCGUCUGCCUCGGCCUUUUUACGGCCAAGUUUGCGAAGCCUUGUUGUCUUGGAAUGGAGGGAUUGAAGAUCAGGGUCCAGAUCCAUUGGACAGGAGCUUUCUCAGGUUUCAGCCACUCCCUGCUGCAGCCCAGAUGGUAGCGAAGCUCUCCCUCCCCAGCAGAGGUCUCAGCGGUCUGCCUCGACAGCCGGAGAGGAGACCGAGGGAGGAGGGAGGAGGGAGGAUCGCCAUGCUAAUUCUUCUGAGACAUGACACUGAUUGUGCAAACCUGUGCAAAGCAGCUAAUGAAUAUUUGUCACUAACUGAACAACAGAACAAAUACCUGCAAAUAAAACAUCUCAAAAUGAACACAUUUUUAUGAUAUAGCAUCAACGUGGGCAG